UAGUACAUAUUUAUUUUGUUCUCAUGUCAGUUUUGGAGAACAUACAUUACAAUUUCUUGACAAGACAACAUUUGGAAAAUUGCUCUGUUCAUUAAAACAUUGAAAACCGUAUAUGUUUUUUAAAUCAUUCCUCUUCAAUGCAUUUGUUGAAGUAAUUUUACUGAAUCAAAGAUAUAAAUACAUGUUUGAAAACAAAUACCCGAAACUGCUAAAAAAAAGACUGGGAUUGAAAGUUAGACUAGAUUCGUUGAUCAUCUACUUGAAAAAUGUGUUUUGUUAGAAAUAUAUAGGAACAGGAAAAU